AAAAGCUCGUAGUUGGAGUUCAGGGUGAUCUCACCUGGUCGGCCUAAUGGGUCAUAACUGGUUGACUCUCCCUUGGUUGUGGAUCCCUCCGGAGUUAAUUCUUCGGGUGUGGAGUACCACAUCAUUUACCUUGAAAAAAUUAGAGUGUGCAAAGCACGCGUUCGCUUGAAUAUAUUAUCAUGGAAUAAUGGAAUAGGACGCUGGUUCUA
rnacentral:rRNA from 1 species